CCUACGGGAGGCAGCAGUGAGGAAUAUUGGUCAAUGGGCGCGAGCCUGAACCAGCCAAGUAGCGUGAAGGAUGACUGCCCUACGGGUUGUAAACUUCUUUUAUAAAGGAAUAAAGUGAGGCACGUGUGCCUUUUUGUAUGUACUUUAUGAAUAAGGAUCGGCUAACUCCGUGCCAGCAGCCGCGGUAAUACGGAGGAUCCGAGCGUUAUCCGGAUUUAUUGGGUUUAAAGGGAGCGUAGAUGGGUUGUUAAGUCAGUUGUGAAAGUUUGCGGCUCAACCGUAAAAUUGCAAUUGAUACUGGCAGUCUUGAGUACAGUUGAGGUAGGCGGAAUUCGUGGUGUAGCGGUGAAAUGCUUAGAUAUCACGAAGAACUCCGAUUGCGAAGGCAGCCAACUAAGCUUUAACUGACGCUGAGGCUCGAAAGUGUGGGUAGCAAACAGGAUUAGAUACCCUAGUAGUC
rnacentral:rRNA from 1 species